GUUUCUGAGGGAGAAAAGGCAUUAGCAAGAAGCAUCUCAGAUGGACUGACAGCAACAAUACCUUUCUUUAUCCUUCCAAGAUUAUGGUGUGCAACCACAUGUGUGUGAGGCAACAGGGGUUGGAAAUGUUCUUUCCUCCAUAAACAUUUGAGCCAGGUUCAGUGCUAGGCAUCGUGGGAGAUGCAAAGAUGAUUGAGACACAGUCCCUGACCUCAGGAAACUUCUGGUUUAAAGACAAAGCUGAUCAGCAGACAGCUAAUUCUAGUCCAAAAUUAAGAACAAGCAGAAGUCAACAGAAGGGACACCCAGUAAUUCUGACCAGGGGGUCAGAGAAGGAUUCAUGAAAGAUGGAGCCUGAAGGAGUCUUGAAGAGUAAGCUAUCCAUGGGUGGAGGGAGGUGAUGGGGGAACUAAGUGAGCAAAGAGUGCCCCUGGGGAACAGCUCAGGGAAGGGCACAGAGUCCUGAGUGGCUGCAGGGCAUGGGUGGAGGUGUGGAGGGCUGUGGAUGGGGAGGAGUCUGGCGAGAUGAGAUGGACCAGAUCCUGGGUGCCAUGCAGGGAGCCUGAAUCAUUGGGCAAUAAUUCAGCAAGGGGAAGGAAGUGGAGCUUCCUGAGAAAGGAAAUGCUGUGAUCACAAUCAUGCAGAAAGAAGAGAAUCAUGCAGAAAGAAGAGAAUUCAAGAUACACUGAGACCAAAACGCAUAUUACUGGCUGGAGAAACGACGGUUAUUUUAAUUUUCCCCUUUUGGGUCACCUGCGGUUGCUAAUUUUCCUACAAGGCUGCUCAGAUUCCUUGGAUUGUGGGCACCUUCCUCCAACCUCAAAGUCAGCAAAGGUAAGUGGAGGCCUUCCUACAUCCCCUGACCCUGCCCUCUUCUACUUCAAAGAACCCUCAUGAUAAUAUUGGGUCCUCAGGGGCAACCCAGGCUAACCUCCCUAUUUUGCGGUCAACCCAUUAGCAACCUAUCUGAGUCUGCAGCAUUUACUUUCCUCUGCCGUGUAACUAACAUUCACAGAAUCCAAGGAUUAGAACUCUUUUCAAUGUCAUUAUUCUCCCUAUCAUAGAACUCCUGUUUCUUUCUUUUUUUUUUCACUUGUGCUAUCUAUCUCGCUUUUGGCUCAAAAUAGUAAUAGAAACAGCAAAGUGAAGUCUUAAAACAGGUUCCCGAAACAGAUGAAUGCUCACAUUUCAGCUCUGCCUGCUGAUUUGGGGCCAAUUUCUAACCUCUCUCUAAACCUGUUCCUCAUCUGUAAAGUGAGGAGAAUGCAAUCUCCUACAGAAAUUAGUGCAAAAAUGGGAUGCUGUUGGCAAAGCUUUAGCAUAAUGGUUAGCGUGUAUAUGUGCUCCAUAAAAGUAAGUUAGAUUUUUUAAGGAGCGAAACGGAGUAAGUGGGGAAGAGACGAG
rnacentral:lncRNA from 1 species